UACGUAGGGUGCAAGCGUUGUCCGGAAUUAUUGGGCGUAAAGAGCUCGUAGGCGGUCUGUCACGUCGGCUGUGAAAACCUGGGGCUCAACUCCGGGCCUGCAGCCGAUACGGGCAGACUAGAGUUCGGCAGGGGAGACUGGAAUUCCUGGUGUAGCGGUGAAAUGCGCAGAUAUCAGGAGGAACACCGGUGGCGAAGGCGGGUCUCUGGGCCGAAACUGACGCUGAGGAGCGAAAGCGUGGGGAGCGAACGGG
rnacentral:rRNA from 1 species